rfam:Methanotorris igneus Kol 5, complete genome.
ACAGAUGAGGCGCCAUCCGAAGGCUCUGCCAGGAUGGCGCUGAUGG